rnacentral:rRNA from 1 species
CCUACGGGUGGCAGCAGUGAGGAAUAUUGGUCAAUGGACGAGAGUCUGAACCAGCCAAGUAGCGUGAAGGAUGACUGCCCUAUGGGUUGUAAACUUCUUUUAUAUGGGAAUAAAAUGUUCCACGUGUGGGAUUUUGUAUGUACCAUCUGAAUAAGGAUCGGCUAACUCCGUGCCAGCAGCCGCGGUAAUACGGAGGAUCCGAUCGUUAUCCGGAUUUAUUGGGUUUAAAGGGAGCGUAGGUGGAUUGUUAAGUCAGUUGUGAAAGUUUGCGGCUCAACCGUAAAAUUGCAGUUGAAACUGGCAGUCUUGAGUACAGUAGAGGUGGGCGGAAUUCGUGGUGUAGCGGUGAAAUGCUUAGAUAUCACGAAGAACUCCGAUUGCGAAGGCAGUUCACUGGACUGCAACUGACACUGAGGCUCGAAAGUGUGGGUAUCAAACAGGAUUAGAUACCCGGGUAGUC